rnacentral:lncRNA from 1 species
UGACAGCUGUUUUGGAACAAAACAGGUGCUGUUUCUUGCUGCAAGGACAGUACUUGCAGUCAAAACGGCUUUGGGCAAGCUAUGAAUCUCACUUCAACUGCACUUAAUGUCUGCAGAUGACACUUGCGAGGGUGCUUUGUAAACAGUGAGCCACAACAAAGACAGUAUUCCUUCAAUGUUAGUGUUCAGCCUAAGAGCGGCAAAGCCCCAUUUGUUAUCAGCAACCAGCUUGGCCUCUGACAAGAAUGUCAAAGACCCUGCCAUCACCGGCCGCUACGAAGACGACCAGCUCCUCCUUCAUCAGGAGCUGCCUCCCUACAGCCUGGCGGGAGCGACUACGUCACUAGGAUCCCGGCGACCUGUUUCGGGCCCAAGCAGCAGCGGCGGCCGACACACCCCGAGACGCAA